AUGUCCCGUGUAGAUCCUGUGUCCUUCCCAUGUUCAUCCCAUGUCCCGUGUAGAUCCCAUGUCCAUCCCAUGUCCAUCCCGUGUCCAUCCUAUGUCCCUCCCAUGUCCUAUGUCCAUCCUGUGUCCAUCCCGUGUCCUUCCUAUGUCCCAUGUAGAUCCUGUGUCCCUCCCAUGUCCCUCCCGUGUCCAUCCUGUGUCCUUCCCAUGUCCCAUGUAGAUCCCAUGUCCAUCCCAUGUCCAUCCUGUGUCCUUCCCAUGUCCCAUGUAGAUUCCGUGUCCAUCCUGUGUCCAUCCCGUGUAGAUCCCAUGUCCCUCCCAUGUCCAACCCAUGUCCCAUGUAGAUCCCAUGUCCUUCCCGUGUCCAUCCCAUGUCCUUCCCAUGUCCUGUGUCCAUCCCGUGUCAUUCCCAUAUUCCAUGUACA
rnacentral:lncRNA from 1 species